CCUACGGGGGGCAGCAGUGGGGAAUCUUGCGCAAUGGCCGAAAGGCUGACGCAGCGACGCCGCGUGGAGGAUGACGCCCUUCGGGGUGUAAACUCCUGUUGCCCGGGACGAAUGCCUGUUUCGACAGGAGUGACGGUCCCGGGUGAGGAAGCACCGGCUAACUCUGUGCCAGCAGCCGCGGUAAUACAGAGGGUGCGAGCGUUGACCGGAAUCAGUGGGCGGCGCGGAGGCGUAGCGGGCGCGGUAAGCGGAAAGUCCGGGGCUCAACCCCGGAUCGGCCAUGCGAACUGCCGGGCUGGAGCACGGUAGAGGCACAUGGAAUUCCGGGUGUAGCGGUGGAAUGCGUAGAGAUCCGGAAGAACACCGGUGGCGAAGGCGGUGUGCUGGGCCGUUGCUGACACUGAGGCGCGACAGCGUGGGGAGCAAACAGGAUUAGAUACCCGAGUAGUC
rnacentral:rRNA from 1 species